rnacentral:rRNA from 1 species
CGCUAGCGGCAGGCUUAAUACAUGCAAGUCGGACGGCAGCACGGGUAGCAAUACCUGGUGGCGAGUGGCGCACGGGUGCGUAACGCGUAUGCAACCUACCCUUAACUGAGACAUAACCUGGCGAAAGCUGGGCUAAUAUCUCAUGAGGUUAUAGAGGGGCAUCCUGAUAUAAUCAAAGCAGCGAUGUGGUUAAGGAUGGGCAUGCGUCCCAUUAGCUAGUUGGCGAGGUAACGGCUCACCAAGGCGACGAUGGGUAGGGGUUCUGAGAGGAAGGUCCCCCACACUGGUACUGAGACACGGACCAGA